rnacentral:misc_RNA from 1 species
UAUGAAGAACGCAGUGAAAUGCGAUAAGUAAUGUGAAUUGCAGAAUUCAGUGAAUCAUCGAAUCUUUGAACGCACCUUGCGCCCUUUGGCCAUUCCGAAGGGCAUGCCUGUUUGAGUAUCAUGAACACCUCAACUCUUCAUGGUUUUCCAUGAUGAGCUUGGACUUUGGGGGUCUUGCUGGCCUGUGGGUCGGCUCCUCUCAAAUGAAUCAGCUUGCCGGUUUUUGGUGGGCAUCACAGGUGUGAUAACUAUCUACGCUUGUGGUUUUCCACCAGGGUAACCUUCAGCAGUGGAGGUUCACUGGAGCUUACAAAUGUCUCUCCUCUGUGAGGACAGCCCUUUGAAUGUUUGAUCUCAAAUCAGGUAGGACUACCCGCUGAACUUAAGCAUAUCAAUAAGCGGAGGA